CGAGAUGACGCUGGCGGCAUGCCUUACACAUGCAAGUCGAACGGCAGCACGGGGGCAAUCCUGGUGGCGAGUGGCGAACGGGUGAGUAAUACAUCGGAACGUGUCCUGUAGUGGGGGAUAGCCCGGCGAAAGCCGGAUUAAUACCGCAUACGCUCUACGGAGGAAAGGGGGGGAUCUUAGGACCUCCCGCUACAGGGGCGGCCGAUGGCAGAUUAGCUAGUUGGUGGGGUAAAGGCCUACCAAGGCGACGAUCUGUAGCUGGUCUGAGAGGACGACCAGCCACACUGGGACUGAGACACGGCCCAGACUCCUACGGGAGGCAGCAGUGGGGAAUUUUGGACAAUGGGGGAAACCCUGAUCCAGCAAUGCCGCGUGUGUGAAGAAGGCCUUCGGGUUGUAAAGCACUUUUGUCCGGAAAGAAAACCUCUGGGUUAAUACCCCGGGGGGAUGACGGUACCGGAAGAAUAAGCACCGGCUAACUACGUGCCAGCAGCCGCGGUAAUACGUAGGGUGCAAGCGUUAAUCGGAAUUACUGGGCGUAAAGCGUGCGCAGGCGGUCCGCUAAGACAGAUGUGAAAUCCCCGGGCUUAACCUGGGAACUGCAUUUGUGACUGGCGGGCUAGAGUAUGGCAGAGGGGGGUAGAAUUCCACGUGUAGCAGUGAAAUGCGUAGAGAUGUGGAGGAAUACCGAUGGCGAAGGCAGCCCCCUGGGCCAAUACUGACGCUCAUGCACGAAAGCGUGGGGAGCAAACAGGAUUAGAUACCCUGGUAGUCCACGCCCUAAACGAUGUCAACUAGUUGUCGGGUCUUCAUUGACUUGGUAACGUAGCUAACGCGUGAAGUGACCGCCUG
rnacentral:rRNA from 1 species